GAUGAACGCUGGCGGCGUGCCUAAUACAUGCAAGUCGAGCGAACGGACGAGAAGCUUGCUUCUCUGAUGUUAGCGGCGGACGGGUGAGUAACACGUGGAUAACCUACCUAUAAGACUGGGAUAACUUCGGGAAACCGGAGCUAAUACCGGAUGAUAUUUUGAACCGCAUGGUUCAAAAGUGAAAGACGGUCUUGCUGUCACUUAUAGAUGGAUCCGCGCUGCAUUAGCUAGUUGGUAAGGUAACGGCUUACCAAGGCAACGAUGCAUAGCCGACCUGAGAGGGGGAUCGGCCACACGGAACUGAGACACGGUCCAGACUCCUACGGGAGGCAGCAGUAGGGAAUCUUCCGCAAUGGGCGAAAGCCUGACGGAGCAACGCCGCGUGAGUGAUGAAGGUCUUCGGAUCGUAAAGCUCUGUUAUUAGGGAAGAACAUAUGUGUAAUUAACUGUGCACAUCUUGACGGUACCUAAUCAGAAAGCCACGGCUAACUACGUG
rnacentral:rRNA from 1 species